AUUGCGCUCGAGCCUUCGGGCAAGAGCAUGUCUGCCUCAGCGUCGGUUUACACCCUCACCCCUCCCUACUCGGGUGUGUUGAUUCUUGAAUCAGCCAUAGGGGUGGAUCUGGCUUCCCCAAUCUGCCUUGUAGUAGAUUGGGUUGGCUGAAGCACAGAGGCUUAAGCAAGGACCCGAUAUGGGCUUCAACUGGAUAGGUAGAAACGGCUUAUGCCGACUACACGAAGUUGUUGCCUGUGGACUUUGCUAGGGGCCUAGCAGGAACAUGCGUAUGCAUGCCUAAACUUUCGACCUGAGCUCAGGCAAGGCUACCCGCUGAACUUAAGCAUAUCAAUAAGCGGAGGAAAAGAAA
rnacentral:rRNA from 1 species